rnacentral:rRNA from 1 species
GACGAACGCUGGCGGCGUGCCUAAUACAUGCAAGUAGAACGCUGAAGAGAGGAGCUUGCUCUUCUUGGAUGAGUUGCGAACGGGUGAGUAACGCGUAGGUAACCUGCCUUGUAGCGGGGGAUAACUAUUGGAAACGAUAGCUAAUACCGCAUAACAAUGGGUGACACAUGUCAUUUAUUUGAAAGGGGCAAUUGCUCCACUACAAGAUGGACCUGCGUUGUAUUAGCUAGUAGGUGAGGUAAUGGCUCACCUAGGCGACGAUACAUAGCCGACCUGAGAGGGUGAUCGGCCACACUGGGACUGUGACACGGCCCAGACUCCUACGGGAGGCAGCAGUAGGGCAUCUUCGGCCAUGGGGGCAACCCUGACCGAGCAACGCCGCGUGAGUGAAGAAGGUUUUCGGAUCGUAAAGCUCUGUUGUAAGCCAAGAACGGGUGUGAGAGUGGAAAGUUCACAGUGUGACGGUAGCUUACCAGAAAGGGACGGCUAACUACGUG